rnacentral:misc_RNA from 1 species
GCCUGAUCGAUGGCCGGCUGGAAUUUCUCGAUCCAGCCGCCCAUGGCGAAGCGGUCCGAGGUGUCGGCCUGCGCGACAGACGCCGCGCAGCCCAGCGAGAGGAUGAACAGCAGCGGUGCGACGACACGUUUNNNNNNNNAUGGCGGUGCGUAACGUUAACUUCCUAUCAUCCGGCGGCAAGACCAUUGCGAACGACAACGGCGAGGCAUAGUUUUAUUUCAGACAUUGAACGCGCGGCGUUGAGUCGGCGUCCAACUGCCAUACAGUCAACCGGAAGGAUUAUGACAAUGUUGGCGGAAAUCU